CAGGUUUCUGUCCAGAAAUACCACUCAAGAAUUUAAAGGGUUUGAUCCAUCAACAAGAGAUUCUACAAAAUAUUACACUGUUGAAUCCACUUCCUAAUAAAAGAGAAUCAUCUAAAGCACUAGAUUCGAAAUGGAACCUACCAAAGAUGACCACCCUCUUCCAGGAUGCAACAAACAGGCAUAAACAGAAAACAUUAUACAGUUCUACGUUCCCAGUAGGAAGAAUUUGAGGAUUCAGUAACCAGGGAGUGGAAGUAGAGAUGUCUCAGUUACCACUACUUCUAUGAUCUGUCUAAGGAAAUUUGUGCUUUUCAUCUCCAUUAUGUUGGACUCAGCAAAUUUGGAUAUCCUGGGUCCCAAAGAAAAACUCUUCUACCAGGUUCACUUCAAGAAUCCCAUUAAACUUUAAGCUAUCACUGUCUUCAACCAAUAAAGAAAUAAAUCAUUACCUUAGUCAGGGUUCACUGACUAGUAA